GACGAACGCUGGCGGCGUGCUUAACACAUGCAAGUCGAACGGUAAGGCUCCAGCUUGCUGGGGUACACGAGUGGCGAACGGGUGAGUAACACGUGGGUGACCUGCCCUGCACUUCGGGAUAAGCCUGGGAAACUGGGUCUAAUACCGGAUAGGACUGCACCGUGAGGGUGUGGUGGAAAGUUUUUUCGGUGUGGGAUGGGCCCGCGGCCUAUCAGCUUGUUGGUGGGGUAAUGGCCUACCAAGGCGGCGACGGGUAGCCGGCCUGAGAGGGUGGACGGCCACAUUGGGACUGAGACACGGCCCAGACUCCUACGGGAGGCAGCAGUGGGGAAUAUUGCACAAUGGGCGGAAGCCUGAUGCAGCGACGCCGCGUGGGGGAUGACGGCCUUCGGGUUGUAAACUCCUUUCACCAUCGACGAAGGGUUUCUGACGGUAGAUGGAGAAGAAGCACCGGCUAACUACGUGCCAGCAGCCGCGGUAAUACGUAGGGUGCGAGCGUUGUCCGGAAUUACUGGGCGUAAAGAGCUCGUAGGUGGUUUGUCGCGUCGUCUGUGAAAUUCCGGGGCUUAACUCCGGGCGUGCAGGCGAUACGGGCAUAACUUGAGUACUGUAGGGGAGACUGGAAUUCCUGGUGUAGCGGUGAAAUGCGCAGAUAUCAGGAGGAACACCGGUGGCGAAGGCGGGUCUCUGGGCAGUAACUGACGCUGAGGAGCGAAAGCAUGGGGAGCGAACAGGAUUAGAUACCCUGGUAGUCCAUGCCGUAAACGGUGGGCGCUAGGUGUGGGUUUCCUUCCACGGGAUCCGUGCCGUAGCUAACGCAUUAAGCGCCCCGCCUGGGGAGUACGGCCGCAAGGCUAAAACUCAAAGGAAUUGACGGGGGCCCGCACAAGCGGCGGAGCAUGUGGAUUAAUUCGAUGCAACGCGAAGAACCUUACCUGGGCUUGACAUAUACAGGAUCGCGCCAGAGAUGGUGUUUCCCUUGUGGCUUGUAUACAGGUGGUGCAUAGUUGUCGUCAGCUCGUGUCGUGAGAUGUUGGGUUAAGUCCCGCAACGAGCGCAACCCUUGUCUUAUGUUGCCAGCACGUUGUGGUGGGGACUCGUAAGAAACUGCCGGGGUUAACUCGGAGGAAGGUGGGGAUGACGUCAAAUCAUCAUGCCCCUUAUGUCCAGGGCUUCACACAUGCUACAAUGGUCGGUACAGUGGGUUGCCAGUCCGUGAGGGCGAGCUAAUCCCGCAAAGCCGGUCUCAGUUCGGAUCGGGGUCUGCAACUCGACCCCGUGAAGUCGGAGUCGCUAGUAAUCGCAGAUCAGCAACGCUGCGGUGAAUACAAUCCCGGGCCU
rnacentral:rRNA from 1 species